UGAAACAAUCUGUCUUACACAUGCCUAGUCC
rnacentral:piRNA from 1 species